GCAGUCGUGGCCGAGUGGUUAAGGCGAUGAACUAGAAAUCCAUUGGGGUCUCCCCACACAGGUUCGAAUCCUGUCAACUGCG
rnacentral:tRNA from 1 species